rnacentral:tRNA from 1 species
GUGGGUGUAGCUCAGUAGGUUAGAGCGCCGGAUUGUGGCUCCGGAGGUCGUGGGUUCAAAUCCCAUCACUCACCCCU